GACGAACGCUGGCGGCGUGCUUAACACAUGCAAGUCGAGCGGUAAGGCCCUUCGGGGUACACGAGCGGCGAACGGGUGAGUAACACGUGAGUAAUCUGCCCAUCACUUCGGGAUAACUCCGGGAAACCGGUGCUAAUACCGAAUAUGACCACUUCAGGCAUCUGAUGGUGGUGGAAAGUUCCGGCGGUGAUGGAUGAGCUCGCGGCCUAUCAGCUUGUUGGUGGGGUAGUGGCCUACCAAGGCUUCGACGGGUAGCCGGCCGGAGAGGGUGACCGGCCACAGUGGGACGGAGCAGCGGCCGAGACUCCUACGGGAGGAAGCAGUGGGGAAUAUGGAACAGUGGGCGAAACCUUGAUCCAGCAACGCCGCGGGAGGGAGGACGGCCUUCGGUUUGUAAACCUCUUUCAGCGGGAACGAAGCGCAAGUGAGGUUCCCUAAAAAAGAAGCCCCGCCCAACCAGUUC
rnacentral:rRNA from 1 species